rnacentral:rRNA from 1 species
UACGGAGGGUGCAAGCGUUAUCCGGAUUCACUGGGUUUAAAGGGUGCGUAGGCGGAUUGGUAAGUCCGUGGUGAAAUCUCUAAGCUUAACUUGGAAACUGCCAUGGAUACUAUUAGUCUUGAAUAUUGUGGAGGUUAGCGGAAUAUGUCAUGUAGCGGUGAAAUGCAUAGAUAUGACAUAGAACACCAAUUGCGAAGGCAGCUGGCUACACAAAUAUUGACGCUGAUGCACGAAAGCGUGGGGGUCAAACAGG